rfam:Anopheles maculatus strain maculatus3 cont1.2372, whole genome shotgun sequence.
CUACUUCGACUCAAUACGUCCCCGGCGUAUAGAACGGUAACAUGUCUCUCCAAAUAUCUGAGCUUGGGUAAACAGGGAAACCUAACCCCUUGGGAAGAUGGGUGAUAUGGCUAAAUUGAGCGGA